rnacentral:RNase_MRP_RNA from 2 species
UCGCCGUUCGAAGAAUCGUUUUCGCAGCUGCACGUACAGAGAGCUCACCUUGUGUGGUGCUUCACUCAUAUUACGCUGUGGGGAAAGUCCCCGGAGAUACAGAGUUUCCUUCUCGGAUUCCUCGUUCCUACUAAUGGAAAGCAACCGACCGUUAAGCAAGACGGUAAAGGUUCGAGGAAUGGCUGGAAUUUCUUUGCUUUCCUCUGGCUCGAGUAAUUCGAACUAGUGGGUUUGCUCCUCCAAGCCAGCUCUGUCCCACUUCAACUUUUCAUUCUCUGCUGGAAAAUGUCGCGAAGAUAUGAGCGGCGUUCUUGCAUGUCCUUCGAGGUCAAGGAGGGUGAAAUUGGGUGGAUGUUGCUCAUAGUGAUAGUUAUACGAUUGUUGAUUCACUUGUGGAUCUUCAACUCAAUGGGGCUCACUCUCUUUCGGCG